UAACUGAAGAGUUUGAUCAUGGCUCAGAUUGAACGCUGGCGGCAGGCUUAACACAUGCAAGUCGAGCGGGCGAGGUUGCUUCGGUAACUGAGCUAGCGGCGGACGGGUGAGUAAUGCUUAGGAAUCUGCCUAUUAGUGGGGGACAACAUUCCGAAAGGGAUGCUAAUACCGCAUACGUCCUACGGGAGAAAGCAGGGGAUCAUUUGACCUUGCGCUAAU
rnacentral:rRNA from 1 species